rnacentral:rRNA from 1 species
UACGUAGGGUGCGAGCGUUGUCCGGAAUUAUUGGGCGUAAAGGGCUCGUAGGCGGUUUGUCACGUCGGGAGUGAAAACUCGGGGCUUAACCCCGAGCCUGCUUCCGAUACGGGCUGACUAGAGGUAUGCAGGGGAGAACGGAAUUCCUGGUGUAGCGGUGAAAUGCGCAGAUAUCAGGAGGAACACCGGUGGCGAAGGCGGGUCUCUGGGCAGUAACUGACGCUGAGGAGCGAAAGCGUGGGGAGCGAACAGG